GACAGGGAGUGCAAGAGCAGCAGAGCCAGGGCCAUCUGAAGGGCACUGAAAGAACGACCAGCCCCCAGAGCACGUGGCUUCUACGCUGGGCUCCCUGACCACCAACCCACUGCUGGAGAGGGGAGGCAAGCACAGAAGAGCUGCCAGGAAGCUGACCUUACAGGGCACGUUUUUCACAAAGAUGGAACUAGAAGGACACACAGAAGCGCCCAAGUGCUCCUGUGCGCACGAGCACCUCGCAAGCCCAUCUUGAGCCGGCUCCUUGUCCCCGAGAGCUUUCUCACUCCCACAGCUGCAAGGCUCACCCCUGACAGAGCGACUCCAAAGUUUCUCCAGCAACCUUCAAUGGCACAUUCCCACCAGCCCUGCAUGAAUGAUCCUCGCUGUCCCCAAAUCCAUCUUUAAAACUGACCCCACAGCUGCUCUUCUACCAACCCUGCUUCUCUCUCCAACUCAGGUGGCUGGUUUCCUGUCGCGCUCAAUGGAAAUGGACAAUAUGCCGCUCUGUUAACGGUCACAGUGACAGCAUUUGCGCCUUAAGAACUUACUGAUUGGAGUUGUGGUCAUCGGCUGGUAGACCAGCGAGGGAGAAGCACCCAGACACAAAGGAACCCAUUGGAACAUGUAUAACUAGUUCACUUUACCCAAUAUGGUGAGACCCCCAGCCCACUACCAAGCAAACAGGAGAGGCCAGUGAACACAGAUGGAAUGCUAAGAAUAUGUGCUUGUUUUAUUUAUCACUUUCCUUUUGUAAAUAUCAUACUUCUUAAUAAUAAAAUUAGAAAAUGUU